GCGAGCAGGGGAAGGGGCGUGCGCAGGGAGGAGUGUGCGCGGGAGGCGGAGAGGGGGAACGGGAGCGUGCGAAUUUCCUUCCCGAGGCACCUUCGCCUCACGCCGCAGCCCCCGCGGGAGGGGGCAGCCCUGAGCGGGGAGGGGGGCGGGGGGAAGCCGCCGCGGAGCCGAUAAAAUGGUGUGCGUGAGCGGCGGGGCGAGCUGAUCCAAUAUGGCCCCCUUCGUUGGCAGAAGCCAAUCCCAGGCGCGUUUACUCUGCAGGCUCCGGCAGAGGCCGGGCCCGGGAUGCGGAGCAGGCCCCGCUGCUGGCGGCCGCCCCCCCGCUGAGGAAAAGGCCGCCGCGGCGCUGGCUGGAACGGCGCCCGCCCAGAGUGCCAGCCCCCGGGCGGCGGGGGGAGCGGGGAUUUUCCCUGGGAAAGGGAAACUUGGAGCUCCGGCACGUUUCCGCGAGGCGCUUACGCAGUCGCUGUCGGCGGUUUCCUCAUGACGAGUGCGGCGGGCGGCCCAGCGCCGCAGGGCAGGGCAGAGCCCGCCUCGCCGCCGGGGCCGGGAUUCCUGCCGCGGCGUUACCUCGCGGGAGAAGGGCUCCCGCGGCGGCCAGCGUGCAUACGUUCGUUCGCUUUAUUAGAAUAGCGGGGGUGCGUUCCACAUCUCCCCUCGCGGUAUAUAGCUAAGACUCUCUCUCCUUCUCUCUAGGGAGAGCCUGUGUGACCAGGAAUUCGGUUAAUUUGACCUAUUGAUGGCAUCACCGGGUUUUGCGUUGAAGCCCAAGUACUAGCAGGGAGAGCAAGGAGAAGUCCUGCCUUUCAGAGGCACAGUCUAACAGCCUGGUAGGAAUCUGUGAUGCAGGUGAAGACUUAUAGCGCCAUGCAAACUGAGCCCUUGCUGAGGUGUUUUGGCUGCUUUGGUGCAUUGCCUCUGCAACCUGCAGCAUGAAUAGGAAACAAAACACUUUCUCCAGAUGACUUUUGGAGCCAUUAACAACUCUGCAAGGGAGCCUUCUGUAGAUAUCCUAAGAAAAAUCCUUUCAUUGACUGUUUAAGACCAAAAUGGGCUGCAAUACCAGUAGGAGCAUGACAGUAGUGGAAUCUGUUCAGAAGCCUGGAGGACAGCCUGAGGAAGAAGAAGAAAAUGAAGAUCCUGGCACAGAAAAAACUGCUGAUGCUAUCCAGAAUUUAGUUACAAAGGACAGUGCAUGUGACAGAACAAGCUGAAAUUGGAUAUUGAUGUGCUCCAAAUACAGACUGUAACUAUGAAGGAAGCAACUUGUUUAUUGGCAUUUUGUGCUUGAAGGGAUUGAUCUUUGUGUUACUGACACUGUGGAGUUAAAGGCAAGUUUCAUAUUGGAUAUCAAGGAAAUCUGCAUUUACGGACAAUGGUGUGAGAUUGCCAUCUAAGCUGAUGAAUUCCCUGCAAUGGAUACUCAGGGAAAACUCUGUAUGUUGCAUGAGAAGCCUUGCCCUCAACAUAGCCUCCUGGAAACUUGGGCUGAAUCCAAAGUAAUCUCACAGAAAUCAAUGAAGCCCUAAAUCUCAGGCAUUAACUGAUUUUAAAACAAAACCCAAAACAUAUGUGUAUGUAUCUCUUUUAAUUCUCUGACUCUGAAACAGUUUCUAUUGCAAUAACUUUUAAGUAUAAAUAGUAAUAACUUUCAGAUUAUUCAAUAAAUGUAAUCUAAGAAACAUCUCACAGAAAUCUAUUUUGGUAUUUAAGAACUGAAGUACAUGUUAAGUUCUGUCUAUGCUCAACUGUACAAGUUGAUCCAUUCACCUAUCUUCAUAUUUACUAUAUAACUCUAAUGUAUCUGAUCAUAAUGAACUCUACUGUAGCAGUUUAAAAAUCCCAAUUAUAAUCCAUUUUGAUUCUUCUUGAUGCAAAGACUUGCAACAAUUUCUUUACAGUUCUGUGCUUAAAGACAUAACUGAAGUAAAUUACUGUUCUAACAAGGCCUAUACCAUUUGUAUUUUAGGUUGAUGGGAAUCUGGCUAAAAUUUACCUGUUAGAUAUUUGGUUCCUUCCAUUAUUAUUGUCUGUACUAGAAGAUGUACAUAUGCCAAGAUACACAUUGGUGGUGUAGAUUUCUUUGUGGACUAGCCUAUACUUCUAAUUGUUUCUUCUAUUAAAAAGAAGUUUGACAGUUCUUAAAGCUUGUUCACUAUUUAAGUGCUUGUGAAUAAUGCUUAUGUAUAUUUGUUUUGAGAAGAUGUAAUCUGAAUUGUAUGUCCAUUAAAAAUGUUGAAUGAUGUGUAUUUCUUUAGUGAAGGUAUAAAACUUGAACAUAUAAACAGAGCUUGUAACUCUAGAUAACUGGUGUAUUUGCAGAGCUGAAUGGUUGCUCUAUAAUAGCACUGAACUUCUGGUGGUUUUGAUAGCUAUACAUAACAACUGAAGAACAAUGAAAUCUGUUCAGGAACCCUGUUUUUAUAAA